GGUGUCGGCGCAGCAACAAAUAGCCUCAACCCCAGCUCCGAGUGUUGUUAUGUGAGGUCCCGCCCUGUGCCCGCCCACCGAAAGCCAAAGCGCAAUCAGAAUGCGGCAGGGUAUGGCCACGCCCCUUAUCUCCGCCUCCCUGGCCUCAGAAAGACACAAACAACCGGCUAGCUGCGUCCCGGCACAAAGAGCGCACACUGCGCAGGCGUUGCCAGCGGCGGCUUUCGGGAAGAGUCGGUCCCGCGAACAAUGAAGUUCCGUUUCAGCCACACCUCCCCCGCCCCUCUCGUUCCUCGCUCUGGCACCUCACGGUGAAGGCCGCGGUCAGCCAGCCAGCGAGCCAGGUCUAGGCUUAAUUUGGAAUGGGAUUUGGUGGGGAGGGAGUAAGAAUCAGGAAGCAUCGAGGCCGCUGAAGCUGUCUCCGCCGCUGACCUUGGCGAAGUAUCUUAUUUCAAACCAAAUAUAAUGUUAUCGUUGGGUUUUUAUUUAAAGAUUUCAAAGUACAUCAUAGGAAUUUCAUUUCUAGCUAUGGUGAAGAGUCCACAUUUGUCUUUAAUCAUGUUUUUUUCAUUUUUGGGGUGGGCAACUCUGCUCAUUAGCCAAAGUGGUAAGAGUAACAAUUAAGGGAGUGACUAAUUGAAAGUGGCCCUUAAAUAUAUAAAAUAGUUAACUGUAAAUCCAUAAUCGGGCAUAGGAAAUGUUACUGCCUUCAUACUUGAAGGACUGAGACUCUAGGACCACAAAACGGUGCCUGAGAGAGAAGGAAGCAAAGGAGGAGGCUCGUGUCUUGAAGUGGAAGAGCUCUGCAGCAUAGUGUAUCCUGCCGGCUGUGUGUGAGAAAUCUCACUUUCACCGUCUCCCCGCACUGCACACAUACACAAGAAAGAAUUGUGGCCAUUAAGCACUUUUGUGCCAGGAACUGUUACUUAAGUAAAUUAGCUCAUUUGAACCUCACAGCAACCCUAGGGGACAGUUAACUAUCCCCAUUUCAGAGGGGAGGAAACAGGCUUAGAGGCAGAAAGCAUUUGUCAGAUAUCACACGGUAAGUUAACAGCAGUUGUUGAACUCCAGUCCAAGUCUGUCCAAAUCAAAGUUUCAACAUCAUCCAUACUACUUGUCAAUACUAGAUUGUAGGUUUUAAGAACACAAUAAUCUUACUUUUAGUCUCACAGCCUCUAACCAAUUACUUUUCAGCUUUGUAGCACUUAAGUGUUUUACGAUUGAUGACAAAGUUUGACAGAGGGAAUAUCCCUACAUGCUUCCCAAUAACUUUUUAAAGACGAUCCCGGAUUUACAACGGUUCCACUUAGGAUAUUUCGAGUUUACUGGUGUGAAAGCAAUAGACAUUCUGUAAAACCCACAUUUUGAAUUUUGAAUUUUGGUCUUUUCCCAGGCUGGCUGUAUGUAGUACAGUUCUCUGGUGAUGGUCAGUGGCAGUGAGCAGCAAUGAGCAGCAGCUCCCGGUCAGCUGCGCCAUUCACGACAGGAAACAACCGGUAAGGAAGCCUUGCAGCCAUGGCCACCUUAGUGAUGGGUGCUCAGAUGGUGCUCACUACAAAGAGACAAGGUGCUGGAAUGGACCACCAAAAGAGAGCAAUCCAAGGAAAAGGUCACCUGUGUUUCUCUGAGCCCAAAGGACCAAUCAUUGAGGGAGCAAGGUAGGCCAAGGGUAAAGUAAUCUUGGGGGACUCUCAUGGUUCUUGAAGAUUUUUGUUCUAGCUUUAUUUUUGUUAAGUCAAUAAGUUUCUUUAGAAGGAGUUUCUGGAAAAAACAAUUGAAAAAUAAAACAGGUAAUAAAGAGCAGGGAAAAGAGAUAAAGGCCACGUGUGUGCAGUUUCCGUGCAUCAGCACUGCAGAGCCCUCUGAACUCCUCUGGUCUUCUGUGUACCAUUCUCUCCCUCUCAUUUGACUUUGGUCCUCCUCCCCCCUCUCUCUCUACCUUGAAUGUAGUCUUUCCCUCCUCCUGCUCUGAAUGUUUCUCUUCUCCCCCUCACUGUGAUUUUAUUCCAUUUCCCCUACCUAUUGUUGCUUAGAUCUCAAAUGUCUAAGCUCUUAGGAACACCUAUGUGAAAAGAGGAACAUUUACUCCAAUAUAAGCUUUGCUUAUAUGCUCAAAUUUAAUCUUUCAAAUCUAUGAAGUAAUAUUCCUCUAGACAUUGAACACAACCAGGAAACCAAAAUGUUUAAACUUCACGAAUAAGAAUUUCCCUGACAGUUAAGCACUGAUCACAAACCUUAUUUUAGCAACAAACUCUGAAAAGUUUAAUUAAAAUAAGGUUUAUAUUUAAAAGAAACAAAACAUGCAUUCAAUUUCACAAUAAAGACAAAAUUUAAACUGACCCUUCAAAACUAUUAUUACCAUUGGUUGAAAUUAAUGUCUUCAUUUUAUCCCUAUACCUACAUGUUUUAAGGGUUGUAGUAAUUUUACCACAGGUAUUUAUUUCCUAAACUUUCUUAAGGGGGACAGCAGGCCUGUGCAGGUUAUGUUUUGCAUAUGGGUGCCUAGGCAAAGGGGUGGGGGAAGCUGAAGUAUAGCUGUCAGCUCCUAAAACCAACUCCCCAGGGUCUGGAAACACCAGGAGGAAGGGACGUCUUUUUCUUACUGAUAGGUACAAAGGUGUCAAAAGGAGUAGGAGCAGCCCUGGAGUACAGUACUAUUAUGGAUAGCUGAUUUUAUUUUAUCCUAGAUAUAAAACCCAAAGGAAAACCAUCUAAUUUAGAUUAGUUGAAGUUCCAACCAACUGAGUCUUAGUUGGGUGGUCACAGGCCUGGUUGUGCCUUCCGGCUGGCUCUCCUUUUCUACACUGAUAAAACUUUUUAACUCCUUGCCAUUCACAGAAUGCAACCUAAUGCCUCUCUUGAAAUGGUAUAUUUUUUAAAGUUUCAUUUGGCCACCUUACAGAACCCAGUUUCUUAUCAUUAUAUGUUGGUGUGGACUGUUCAGUUUUACAAACUGAUUUGUCUUAAUUUGUUAUCUUUCAUCUUUCGUGAGACGGAUGGAGUCCACAUAAUUAGCUGUCUUCUUCAGGACAUUUGGCAAAUCAUCAUCUUGAAACACUCUGUGGAUUCUCUUCUACUUCGUCUUUUUGCAACCCCAGCACUGAUUAAAUGUUGGAUCUCCUUUCUCCCUGGUUGUUAUGUGUGACAAAUGAUCUGGAGCAGGUCUUUCUGUUCCUGGUAUAGUUAAUAUUUUUUUCCAAGGCUGCUUGUCUGAUUCCCAGUCCUCUCUAUUCAUCUGUCUCUGCUUUUACAAUUUAGAGAAAAGAUAUGUCUGUGCUUUAGAAACUAUUAUAUGCCUUAGAUUUAAAAAAACAACCCAUACAUAUAAUUGUAUUUACUCAACUUCAAAAAACUUAACACAUCUAAAUUAUCUCAUUCACUAUCUUUUAUAGGCCAACUACCUAUUACUAAAUUGUAAACUUUUUCCUUUGGAGAAACAUCAUGGACUUUCAUUGAUUCAAAUGCUUUCAAUUAUGUAUAAUCACUUUCCUUUUUUUGCUCAAAUCUUCAGAAGAGCUAAGUCAAUGAAAGACCUUUUGGAUGGUUGAAUUGUCUCUCCAGCACUUCUCUCAAACAUUUUUGAAAACAUUCUUGCUUUAUGUACACAACAAAAUGUUCCAGAUUAUCUUCAUCUUUCUCUGACUUAAAACAUGGGAUGAAGUAUUUUAUAAAGAAUUUAGUUUCUUUAAAUUAAAAAAAAAAUUAGUGGCAAAAUCUGGGCAUCAGGGAUAUCAGAUUGUUCCAUGUGAGUACAGAUUGGAAUUACAAUUUUUUUUUUUCCAAAACUGAAAGGCAUUUCUUUUUAAAGUCCUUAGUCUACAUUGAUUUUUUAAAUAAUUUAAACCCACAAAAUCAUUUAAAAAUUUAUUCCAUUUUAAAAAAAUGUUUAGUUUUCUUCCCAACAUAAUCUUAAACUUUUAAUCCUUUGCUCAAACUGCAGUUGUGCCCUCAUGUAUAAUCCUUACAUGUCUCAGCAGUAGUCAUUUCUGUAAUCACUUCAUUACCUUGCGGUCUUAGUACUUCCACUUUAUCUCUCUGGUCUUUCUCUAUUUUUAUUUUUUUAAUUUUUAUCUUUUAUCUCCCCUCUUUAUGCUUCCCCACUGUUAUUCUCAUCAUCCUUAUUUCAUCUCCCCUUUCAAAUCUUGGAACUGAAGCAUAAUUCCUGCCUCAGGGUGUUUUGUAACUGGAGAGUUACUGUCUGUCUUGGGACAUCUAGGUCAUCCCCACUUGCAACUACUCUAGAUCAAGUCAUCAAAAACUUAAUGCCAUUUUUGUUGUGUGACAAAAUGCACUCUGUAGCAUGUUGGCACAUUUUUACUGACUUAUUCAUGUACUUUUAUUUAAGUAAUUUGUGUUCUUAGUAUUCCAGAGCAAUCUUCCACACCAAAACAAAGAAGAGAAGGGCAGAGGACUACAGAAAGAGAAGCAACUGGGACAAACAUUUUACAAUUUAUUAAGGUUUCAGGAAAAUUACCUCUUAAAAAAAAAAAGCAUUGUAUACACUGUUAGGUUUUUCCAUUGCAAGAAUCCACUCAGUAAAGUAACAGGGUAUUUGCUUUAAGGAUAUACACACACAGACAUAAGAAAGGCAAGAAGAUUGCACAUCAGGCCUCACAGGAUCCCAAGAAAACCUUAAUACCCAGAACUCAUGGGAGGAACAGGAAUUACAGAAUAGCACCUAACAGACAUGGAAUGAAGUUUGGAAACUCAAAAUUUACUCAGGAUCCAGUGCAUCCCUGCUUAGAAGGUUAGUUUUUCACUCCUCAGCAAAGGAUGUUUGUUGAUUCUUACUCUACUGCUCUGCCAUUCCCCUGACUUAACUCUCUUUCUGUUUGUGCUUUUUGUGUAUUAACACUUGCACUAUCACUACCAAUUAAUUCACUGUUUCAUCUAAAAGUCCAAAUUCCACAGAGAGAGGAACUGAUUCAUCCAGGUGAGAUUACUGGAUGACUCAUCACCUUCAUGAUGUUGAGCCAGGAUGGUGUGGCACCUGUGUGUGAGGCGCCACUCAGGACCACUUCCGGGACUGUGGACGUGACAAGCGUUGAGAAGUUUGGCCAGCCUGGUACACUGCAUAACCUACCUUCCAGGCACAGAACAGUCCUCUGCUUAUUUAUACCUGCAAUUCUUCGGAAUCUACAGGCAGUGAGAAAGCCUAUGGAAACUCUGGGGAUCUCUGACUGUUCUUGGAAAGCUAGGUUUCUAGCAACACCAUCCCAUCAUUCCUGGUGAAGCAAUAGUUGGCUGGAGUUGAAUAGAGGCUGCCCUUUAAAAAUGAGGCCUAUGAGU